UAUACGUUAAAGGGAAGGCAGUAUCGUAUUUAUUUCCUUUCAUCAACAGUUGAUACCGGAGAAAUUCUUCUUAUUUUUUAUAGGAUUUAAAUCGAGAUACUUUUUGAGUAUUUUUGUUAAUAUAUGAUUUUAGAUGAAAAAUCUGAGAACUUCCAGAAAUAUUUUUUUUGCAGGUAUAUUUAGUGAUUCUUUCAUCGGUGGUUAAUGCUCUGUUCUUCUCUUUCUUUUUGAGUUUCAUACGACGUUUUUAAUUUCGUUAGUCGAACGUGUAGUGUUUAGUCGAUUUUCCUCUUCGGUUGAACAAACAAGCCAGUUAAGUUUGUUUUUUGCUAAUGCAUUAUAUGGGUUUCGUUUCAUUUUUUUUCUAAUGUGAUGUUUAGGUUUUCUGUUUGCAGAAUAUGUAUACCAAUCACGAUGAAUCUAUUCCCAACUUCGAUCUGCAGCAAGCUAGCUAUGGAUUAUAUCUGUUUGUUAUAGAGUACGGUAUGCAGAUUGCAACAAGGAGUGAUAUCUGUUCGUUUUCUUUAUACGGGCAAUCUAAAUCAUGCAGGUUGUGUGAUCAUUGUCUCGAUAGGUUAUGUGUGGAACUUUUUUCUUACUGAAAAUUAACUGUUGGAUUACGUGAACAUGGGACUACAUGAACAGGAUUUUGAAAAGACGAUUUCCGGGAUAUAUUCGAGAGAUAAUGUAAAUAAAGUAAUUGGCCGAAGAAGCUAACCUUUUUGUGGUGCUGGAUAGUUCACAGGGUAACUCGACUUAUCAGAUAGGGAUGAUUAAGUUUGUGAAGAAUACUUAUCCUGAGUUGGAUGUAAUUACUGGGAAUACCGUUACAUCGUAUCAGGCACAUAACUUGAUUCAAGCUGGAGCAGAUGCAUUGAGGGUUGGUGUGGGUUUUGGGUCGAUUUGCACAACGCAAGAGGUCUGUGCUGUUGGGAGAGGGCAGGAAAACAUCUGUAUAUAAGGUUUCAUUUGUUUCUUCGCGAAGUGGUGUCCCUGUGAUUGCUGGUGAUUGUAUUUCAAAAUCUGGGCACAUUGUCAAAGCUUUGACACUUGGUGCAUCUACAGUUGGGAAGUUUCUUGGCUGGGAGAAGUGAGGCUCCUGGCGCCUGCGAAGUUCAGGAACUGCAAGACUACGUGGGUGCUUGGUUUGCACAUUCAAUCACGUACAGUCGCAUAUAGGAUACCAAGCUAUCAAACUCGCCAGAAACAAUGAAGAACCGUAAGCAAGGUUUAUAACCCUAGCCAAAUAACCAAUAUAUUACAAAUUGUUUUUUGAUCAUUCACUGUCGGAUUUUGGAGCUUAGAAGUACCUAUAUGUUUUUUUUUCAUGGAGAUUAGAAAUAUGUAUGUUUUUUUUCAUAAUUGUGGUGUUGCUGGAAUUGGUUUACAAAAGAAGUUGCCGAUUGAGUUAACGUGAUUGUAUAUAUGCAGGUGGACUGUUUAGUAAUGCUUCGGCUGGAUAUAAAGGCCGAGAAAAAAAUAAAUGACAUGUUACUUGAACUUCAAUGUUAGUUAUAUUAUCUUUUUUGAAUCUUAUAUUAUUUUCGGUCUGAUUUUAUCUUUCCUUGCAGCAAGGGGUUUAUGUAUAUCUGUUCGUUCAAAAUUGGCAAGAAGGUUUGUAGGCAGAGCAUAACCAAUGAGCUAAAAAUGACACCGCAAACUAUUUUUUUUGUCUGUUUGACGUUUUCGUAUAUACGCUUGCUGUUUAGUUGUCAGCUGGAUUUUCUCUUCUACUUAGCUAGCAUGCAUAUGCUCAUGGUUCCCUUCUUUUCUCUGUGGUAGUAAAUAUCUUCUGUCUUUGAUAUGUUGAUUUUUAUGCAAAGUGCAAAGUGCUUUCUGAUUUUCUAUUGAUUUCCGUUGUCAUCCCUUACUGCAGGCUAUAAUACAUGAAAACAAAAUAUCUAACUCUCUCUCUCAAGGAAUUAUUACAGUUCAUUUUGAUUUGAAUAAUUCUUUUUUCAGAGAAGAGAAACCUUUCUUUUUCUUAUAUUAAACCAAUAUAACGACAACAAAGGAUAAAAAAAACAAGUCCGAGUUGGAAAAGAUACAUACAACCAGAGGCGGAGGGUAACAUACAAGUUUUUGUUAUUGUUAAGGUAACUUCUGUGAUUUCGGUCAGCAAUGGCUGAUUUCUUGAAACACAUAGGAGGUAUUGCCAACUGCAAACUUCUCCAUGAGUAUUGUUAAUUCGGAACUGUGGUUGUGGGUGUCUCCAUAUCGUUUGGGCAAAGUAUUUAUAUGAUCAGUUAUGGAGUUUGCUCAAUAUUUUGUGUACAAGUUACUGUAUGAGCUAUGGAGUUAUAAAUAAAGGAUAAAUCAGAUCAGACCAAACAAGUAGUCUGUUAUGUUGAUUCGGCAUCGUACGUUAUGUAACACAUUAAAAUUGAUAUGUUAUAUAGUACUAUCUUUAUGUGUUGUAGACUCUUAUCUUCAGUAUUGGUGCUAUUGACUCUUUCUUUUCUUAUAUUUUGAUCAUAUAGUUUUUCCUUCUUUAUAUUUGUAUAAUUUUUGCCUUCUCUAAAGCCUUCUUUCUUUUUUUGAAAAGAAUCUCACAAAAAGGAUCUUACCGAUGACGACGGGUUGUCAGUACGUUAAAGAAUUGAUUGAGCACUAUGUCGCAUAUAUAAGAUAUAAGUUAUAACAUAUCUACACGGGUUUACAAGUCCACAUUGCGUCUGUCUUCUCGAAUACCAAGAUAACAUAUUUUCUAUUCGUUACACUAACUAAGCAAUCGGGUAACAUAUAUUCUUAAUUAGUUUGGCCGUGUACGUAAAUGUUGUUUGGUGAAUGUUGUGCUAGAUUAGAUUUGGCAUUCAUUCGUGCCCAAAUUUCCAUGCUACAGAAAGAGAGAAUGCUGCUCCCAGCUGAAUUUGGUUAGAAUUCGUACAUCAAUAAUGUUCACUAUGUCGGAAAACAUAUUUUUCACAACGUCCCCAAAUUUCAGUUUUAGAUGCGGGUAUCAGGAACUACGUGCACAGUCUUAUACUCUAAAUUCGAUCUACUAAAGAGGUACAUUUGCUUGCAGAGAGAAGAUUUUCGAUUUUUGUGUUUCUACAUACUUUAUUUUUAAAAUUUUUUUUUGCUCGGUUAUACUUAAUUUAUGUGUUUCUUGCAAUGGUAAUGGGUGUUUCAGAUUUGUUGAUUUUAAAGAUUGUGUUACGCUAAAAUUUUCUUUUGUCAAAUUGUGUACAAUUCGGUCAAGUGUUGUCUUUGAAGCGCCCUUGCCACCACAUGUAGAUAAUGGUCUUCAACUUCAUUUCACGAUGUAAAUUGGUAUAGGAAGGUAAGUUUGAAAUGGCCUCAUUUAACUGCAUUUUUUCUUGACUAUUUUUCUUUUGUCUUUGCUACUUGGAUGUUGUCAUCGGAUUUUCCUCAGUAAUAUUCAUGCUUCUCUUCUCUGUUCAACGUUUUUGCGUGAAAAAAGUUGGAAUCACAUUUGCUACAAUUGGUACCCUAACUUAUGGUACCCAUCGUAGGUGAAGGGCAUUUGGGUUUAAUAUGUAACUACUGCUCCUAACUGAACUUGGUUAGUUUCUGCGUAUUGGUUUCUUGUAUUGAAAGAUUUAUCAUGUUAGAUGUGUUAAUGAUAAUCCAGUUCUAUCCAGGCAAACUAAUACUAUUCUAUUUUUUUUAUUGUUGCUCGGGUAGCAUCAACUCUGGAAAAGGUAAACAGUCAUGUUUUUUUAUAGGGUAGUGGUGCUUUUUUCAAUGUCCAAGCAUAUAUAUUUAAUGAACUGUUUUGCAUUUUUUUUUUCUAUUUCUUAUUUGGAUGUUAGUUUUCGUUAGAUUAAUUCUUGGAAUUUGUAGAUUCGCGAUGAGAUAAAAAAUUGGAUAGCGUAUCAAAGAGAAAGCGUCUUAAGGAUUUCAAUGAAAAAAUUAUUUGUUGCCUUGCUUCUCUACUAGGCUGUUUUCCACCGUACAUAUUGAAGAGGUUAAGAUUACCUGUUGAUGAGAUUUCUUUUGACAAUGCUCUGAGAAAUCUAUCAUUUCAUCCUGUCCUUACCUGCCUAUGUCGGAGUUCCAUCAAAAACAAUAUCCAGUUUAGGACUUCAAAUUUCAUAAAGAAGAUUUUCAAGUAAGGGUAUAUUCAUUUUCAGCCUUUUAUAUCAAAAAGAAAAUCAGCUUCUUCCGAACGCCGAUUGAAUGAAAAGCGACAGCUAAAAGGCAUAAAUUAGUUAUAGAAAAACUGAGUUGAGUCGAAUAUGUUU